rnacentral:rRNA from 1 species
UUUAUUGAGAGUUUGAUCCUGGCUCAGGAUGAACGCUGGCGGCGUGCUUAACACAUGCAAGUCGAACGGACGGAUUGG